rnacentral:lncRNA from 1 species
UGAGUUUUUAUGAAAGGGUGAAAAUAUGAAAAGAAAUAAGAAAAAGAAAUCACCCUUGAAACCAUAGAGCAAAGAAAAAGAAAAGAAAGAAAAAAAAACAAAGAAAAGGCUCAUGGUUGUGUGGUUGUAAAAAGAAAAAGAAAAGAAAAAGACAGGGAUCAAAGAAAUGGAAAUUGUGUAGAGUUGAAUAUAGGGGAAUGCUCCCUUAGG